rnacentral:rRNA from 1 species
GAUCAUGGCUCAGGAUGAACGCUAGCGACAGGCUUAACACAUGCAAGUCGAGGGGCAGCGGGGUGUAGCAAUACACCGCCGGCGACCGGCGCACGGGUGAGUAACGCGUAUCCAACCUGCCGUCUACUCUUGGACAGCCUUCUGAAAGGAAGAUUAAUACAAGAUGGCAUCAUGAGUCCGCAUGUUCACAUGAUUAAAGGUAUUCCGGUAGACGAUGGGGAUGCGUU